CCUANGGGAGGCAGCAGUGGGGAAUUUUGGACAAUGGGGGCAACCCUGAUCCAGCCAUGCCGCGUGAGUGAAGAAGGCCUUCGGGUUGUAAAGCUCUUUCGGACGGAACGAAACGGUGGCGGUGAAUAUCUGCCACUAAUGACGGUACCGUAAUAAGAAGCACCGGCUAACUACGUGCCAGCAGCCGCGGUAAUACGUAGGGUGCGAGCGUUAAUCGGAAUUACUGGGCGUAAAGCGUGCGCAGGCGGUUCGCCAAGUCAGGUGUGAAAUCCCCGGGCUUAACCUGGGAAUUGCGCUUGAAACUAGCGGGCUUGAGUGUGGCAGAGGGGGGUGGAAUUCCACGUGUAGCAGUGAAAUGCGUAGAGAUGUGGAGGAACACCGAUGGCGAAGGCAGCCCCCUGGGUCAACACUGACGCUCAUGCACGAAAGCGUGGGGAGCAAACAGGAUUAGAUACCCCANUANUC
rnacentral:rRNA from 1 species